rnacentral:rRNA from 1 species
GACAGAGGGUGCAAACGUUGUUCGGAAUUACUGGGCGUAAAGCGCGUGUAGGCGGCUUGGCAAGUCGGGUGUGAAAGCCCUGGGCUCAACCCAGGAAGUGCACUCGAAACUGCUUCGCUCGAGUAUCGGAGAGGAAAGCGGAAUUCUCGGUGUAGAGGUGAAAUUCGUAGAUAUCAAGCAGAACACCUGCGGCGAAGGCGGCCUUCUGGACGAUGACUGACGCUGAGACGCGAAAGCGUGGGGAGCAAACAGG